rnacentral:rRNA from 1 species
CGCUUCUUUUUCCACCGGAGCUUGCUCCACCGGAAAAAGAGGAGUGGCGAACGGGUGAGUAACACGUGGGUAACCUGCCCAUCAGAAGGGGAUAACACUUGGAAACAGGUGCUAAUACCGUAUAACAAUCGAAACCGCAUGGUUUUGAUUUGAAAGGCGCUUUCGGGUGUCGCUGAUGGAUGGACCCGCGGUGCAUUAGCUAGUUGGUGAGGUAACGGCUCACCAAGGCCACGAUGCAUAGCCGACCUGAGAGGGUGAUCGGCCACAUUGGGACUGAGACACGGCCCAAACUCCUACGGGAGGCAGCAGUAGGGAAUCUUCGGCGAUGGACGAAAGUCUGACCGAGCAACGCCGCGUGAGUGAAGAAGGUUUUCGGAUCGUAAAACUCUGUUGUUAGAGAAGAACAAGGAUGAGAGUAACUGUUCAUCCCUUGACGGUAUCUAACCAGAAAGCCACGGCUAACUACGUGCCAGCAGCCGCGGUAAUACGUAGGUGGCAAGCGUUAUCCGGAAUUAUUGGGCGUAAAGAGUGAGCAGGCGGCCGUUUAAGUCUGAAGUCAAAUGCAGUAGCUCAACUACUGUUCGCUUUGGAGACUGGAUGGCUAGAGCUCGGGAGAGGUAAAUGGAACUUCAUGUGUAGCGGUGAAAUGCGUAGAUAUAUGAAAGAACACC